UUCGACACACUAUCAUUAACUGAAUCCAUAGGUUAAUGAGGCGAACCGGGGGAACUGAAACAUCUAAGUACCCCGAGGAAAAGAAAUCAACCGAGAUUCCCCCAGUAGCGGCGAGCGAACGGGGAGGAGCCCAGAGCCUGAAUCAGUGUGUGUGUUAGUGGAAGCGUCUGGAAAGGCGCGCGAUACAGGGUGACAGCCCCGUACACAAAAAUGCACAUACUGUGAGCUCGAUGAGUAGGGCGGGACACGUGGUAUCCUGUCUGAAUAUGGGGGGACCAUCCUCCAAGGCUAAAUACUCCUGACUGACCGAUAGUGAACCAGUACCGUGAGGGAAAGGCGAAAAGAACCCCGGCGAGGGGAGUGAAAAAGAACCUGAAACCGUGUACGUACAAGCAGUGGGAGCCUCUUAAUGGGGUGACUGCGUACCUUUUGUAUAAUGGGUCAGCGACUUAUAUUCUGUAGCAAGGUUAACCGAAUAGGGGAGCCGAAGGGAAACCGAGUCUUAACUGGGCGUUAAGUUGCAGGGUAUAGACCCGAAACCCGGUGAUCUAGCCAUGGGCAGGUUGAAGGUUGGGUAACACUAACUGGAGGACCGAACCGACUAAUGUUGAAAAAUUAGCGGAUGACUUGUGGCUGGGGGUGAAAGGCCAAUCAAACCGGGAGAUAGCUGGUUCUCCCCGAAAGCUAUUUAGGUAGCGCCUCGUGAAUUCAUCUCCGGGGGUAGAGCACUGUUUCGGCAAGGGGGUCAUCCCGACUUACCAACCCGAUGCAAACUGCGAAUACCGGAGAAUGUUAUCACGGGAGACACACGGCGGGUGCUAACGUCCGUCGUGAAGAGGGAAACAACCCAGACCGCCAGCUAAGGUCCCAAAGUCAUGGUUAAGUGGGAAACGAUGUGGGAAGGCCCAGACAGCCAGGAUGUUGGCUUAGAAGCAGCCAUCAUUUAAAGAAAGCGUAAUAGCUCACUGGUCGAGUCGGCCUGCGCGGAAGAUGUAACGGGGCUAAACCAUGCACCGAAGCUGCGGCAGCGACACUAUGUGUUGUUGGGUAGGGGAGCG
rnacentral:rRNA from 1 species